UGCCUCAGUAACGGCGAGUGAAGCGGCAACAGCUCAAAUUUGAAAUCUGGCCCUCUUCGGGGGUCCGAGUUGUAAUUUGCAGAGGGUGCUCUGGCAUUGGCGGCGGUCUAAGUUCCUUGGAACAGGACAUCGCAGAGGGUGAGAAUCCCGUACGUGGGCGCCUGCCUUUGCCGUGUAUAGCCCCUUCGACGAGUCGAGUUGUUUGGGAAUGCAGCUCUAAAUGGGAGGUAAAUUUCUUCUAAAGCUAAAUACCGGCCAGAGACCGAUAGCGCACAAGUAGAGUGAUCGAAAGAUGAAAAGUACUUUGGAAAGAGAGUCAAAUAGCACGUGAAAUUGUUGAAAGGGAAGCGCUUGCAGCCAGACGUGCCCGCAGUUGCUCACCCCGGCUCUUGCCUGGGGCACUCUUCUGCGGGCAGGCCAGCAUCAGUUUGGGCGGUCGGAUAAAGGCCUCUGUCAAGUAUCUUCCUUCGGGAUGACCUUAUAGGGGAGGCGCAAUGCGACCAGCCCGGACUGAGGUCCGCGCAUCUGCUAGGAUGCUGGCGUAAUGGCUGUAAGCGGCCCGUCUUGAAACACGGACCAAGGAGUCUAACAUCUAUGCGAGUGUUUGGGUGUCAAGCCCGGGCGCGUAAUGAAAGUGAACGGAGGUGGGAUCCCUUCGGGGUGCACCAUCGACCGAUCCUGAUGUCUUCGGAUGGAUUUGAGUAAGAGCAUAGCUGUUGGGACCCGAAAGAUGGUGAACUAUGCUUGAAUAGGGUGAAGCCAGAGGAAACUCUGGUGGAGGCUCGCAGCGGUUCUGACGUGCAAAUCGAUCGUC
rnacentral:rRNA from 1 species